GACUGUGCUAAGGUAGCAUAAUAAAUUGGCCUUUAAUUGGGGUCUAGAAUGAAAGGAUUUACCUAAUAAUAACUGUCUCAAGAUUAUAAUUUUACCAAUUUACUUAUUAGGUGAAAAUUCCUAAAGGUAAAAGAAAGACGAGAAGACCCUUAGAUCUUUGACUAGGUUGUAUAUCUGAAUUUACAAGUUGUUUUUGUUGGGGCGACAUAGUAUCACUGAAGGUGGAACAUACUAUAAUCUUUUUGUAUUUAUAAAUCUAAUUAUUUUAAUGAAAAUUAAGGUACCUGAGGGAUAACAGCAUUAUUAUUUUAUUACAUUGUGACCUCGAUGUUGGACUAGGA
rnacentral:rRNA from 1 species